rnacentral:misc_RNA from 1 species
CUGUAAAAGUUAUUAACAAGGAAGUGGCACGUGUUCUGAGCCGCGCCGUGGAUACAUAAUUUCGGGCUCCUUACGUUCUUCUUCAAGCUUCCACUCCAUUCGUCAAUGUCUUGUUUCGCACUCGCAAAAUGCUCCGUUAUAGCCCCGUCUCUUUCUCUGCUACAUCAAACUCGCAGAAGUAGAAGACCAUUCUGUCUCAAAAUGUCGGCAGAGUCACCGCCGCCCCUCACUCACUCCCUUGUUUUGCCUAGUCAACCCAGCCAACCCGUCCAGGUCGUCGCUGCCCCUGGCGUCUCCAAUUCCGAUUUCAGGAGUGCGAUUGAUUCAUCACUGUUUAAGCAGUGGCUAAAGAACUUGCAAUCUGAAACUGGGAUUUUAGCUAGCGGCGCUUUUUUAUUAAAGCGAGUACUUGUUCAGGUCUCCCUCUUAGUCUCUUAGUUUACAGAUUUUUCAUUUGUUCAUCAAUUUUUGAUCCAGUAGAGAUCAUGCUUAAUUGCACCUUCACGUUUAUGGAAAUGAAAAGGGGAAGGAUUUCUUGAAGUGCUAUUUCUUGGGACUGAAUUGAGCUUUUGUUGAGGAACAAUAAUAUGGUUCUUUUGUUUUGCUCUGGAAACAUGUGAACCUGAUUUCCAAUUUUCUCUGCUGCCAAUUUAAUCCUUUAUUAGAUGAAUGUAUGCAAGAUACAGUUAGAAAUGUAUCAAUGACUUCACAUAAUGGCCGUGGUAAAAUAAAACUGUCUUAUUGUUCUUAAUAUGGCUUACUUAUCCCUCACCAUAACCAUCAGCUGUGCUUUCUUUUGUCUCCUUGUUUAUAAAUAUCGUGAUUGAUGGUAUGCCAUUGGUUUAGGGAGUGGAUAUGUUUGGACAACGCAUUGGCUUUCUAAAAUUCAAAGCAGAUAUUUUUUGUCAGCAAACAGGGAAUAAGGUAUUUGACCAUCUCCCUGCAUAAGUAUGAAUUUUCCCACAUCUGGGAUUGAGCGUAGCAAACAUUAUUACAAACAAUUUCUUCCUUUCGCUCCUUUUCUCUUUUCUCCUCUCUUUUUCCCUCUUCAACCUUUAUGCAAUGUUUAAUCAUUAGACAGUCAUGAAUAUCUAAUGUUCAUUAUUGAAUACGGUUUUCCUUUCCCAUAAGAUCCAUUAAUCUUGUGGCUUACAUGCUUUUUCACAGAGAUGAAAAAUAAUAGUAACAUGUUUCUGCUAGCCAGGUUUAAUCUAGGAUUGAAAUAUGGGGGGGCCAAGGAUCUCAAUUUUUACAUUAUAAAUAACAAAAAGAACAAUACGCAGCUUAUAUGGUUUUCUUAGUUAAAUGUCUUCUCUUGUAAAAAAUGCAAGCAGACUGUUGUAUAUGAAAACUCUGUCUAUUUAGAAUUUGUUAACCAUCACAUUAUUGUACAUGCAUAUUUGUAUUUCGCUUAUUUAUUUUUGUAUUGUUAGAAACAUUAUUGUGGAAUAAGAAUAUAAAUAGAUGUAGUGCUAAUAGUGUUUCCUUAAAAGAAAAUCACAAAACUUUCACCUAAUAUGAUCAAAUUUGGGGAGCCAACUUUAGAAAAUCCUAAAAUUAAUUGAAUAAAAAGUUCAAUUUAUGAUAGAUAUUUUGCAACUAUGGGGGGAGGGCGGCUCCUUGGCCAUUCCUCCACCCACACACAAAUUUGUCUAUGCUGCUAACAGUUUACGUGCAGAGCUAUCAAUGCUAUGAACCCAUAUCUUCCUGUAAGGACUAAAUCAUGCUUAGGUUCCAGGUAUAGUAUUUGCAAGAGGACCAGCUGUAGCUGUGCUAAUUCUUUUGGACUCUGAUGGUGAAACUUAUGCUGUUCUUACAGAACAGGUUAGGGUCCCCACUGGGAGGCUUGUUUUGGAACUACCUGCUGGGAUGCUGGAUGAUGACAAGGGUGAUUUUGUUGGCACUGCAGUUCGUGAGGUUGAAGAGGAGGCUGGUAUUCAUUUGAAUCUAGAAGACAUGGUUGACCUCACAGCUUUGCUGGAUCCAUCCACUGGAUGCAGAGUUAUUCCUUCUCCGGUGUGUUGGCAUACAUUUUCAUCCUUUUUUUUUGUUAUGAUAUGUGGAAGAAUUUGUUCCAAAUAGAGAUAUUAAGAAACAUCUUGAAUUUUUCAGAUUGUGAUACAAACCUUUGGUUUUGUCAGAAGUCCAAUAAUGUACACCAAAAUAUAGGAGACUGAUUUAUUAAAUUUAAGUGUUCUUAGAGAAGUAUCUUCAGUGAUUUAAGGACCUAGGAAGCUGUUUAUGGGUUUGGGAUUUUUAUUAAUUUGUGAUUAUCGAGCUAUGAUGGGUUUGAAAAUAGUUUUAACUGGGAAACUGCAUUUUGUGUUAAAGAUGAAAAGAACAGGUGCUUGUAUCUUUUAGAAAAAGAAGGGGUUGAAUAAGUUUUACUUUGAUAUAUGAACAAUAAAUGGAACUAACUGUUGAACAUGUGUCAAGUCAUGUGCUUUAUUUAACAUUUCAUGUGCUUUUUGUUGGUGGACUUGUCUAUGCUAUUUUUGGAAUAGAAUAGCUUGUUAACAAACCUGUGCUUGCAAUGUGAGAUUAUUUAGAGUGAGUUCCAGUAUCUGUAACAUAUGCAAGUUUCUUGUGAGUUAUUGAAUGCUUUGGAAAUAUCACAUGCUUCGGAAAUAUCACAUGCUUCACAAUUUUUUGAGAACAGAAAUAAUUUUUGCAAAAGAUACAAUCUGAAACUUACAUGAGUUGUUUACCUCUCCAUGAUUAGGGAGGAUGUGACGAAGAAAUUAGUGUGUUCCUUUACAGAGGGUAUGUUGAUAAAGAAGUUAUCACACAGCUACAAGGCAAAGAGACGGGCCUUCGUGAUCA